rnacentral:lncRNA from 1 species
UCUACCAAAUACAUAAAUAAGAAGAUGUCCUCCAUUGUUGACCUUCCACAUAUAAACCUAAAUUGUUUCUCAAAGACUAUCAUUACUUUUUUGAAUUUUGUUCAAGCACCAUUUUCCAUAGCUUUUAUAUAGAGGCUCAUAAGUUUAAUUUUUGAAAUAUUAGGGCAAUUCAAUAUCCAUCAUCUUCAUUCUUAUACACAGGCGUCAUGAUACUGCUUGAAUCAUUUAACAGUUUCUUAGUUUUCAAAAUCUCACUAAGUUAGUAAACCAAGUUAGUCCAAACUCCAAACUCUUCCAUGCUUUCCCAAACCUUGAAAGCUUUUUUAUCUAUCCAUAUUAUCACUUGUCCAUGUCCGUCCCAAAGUUACCUCAACAUUUAUUUUAAGACUUGUACAAAGAGAACCUUGGCAACUUGCUAUUUGUGCCUUUUCAAUAUAAAUUUCACUACUAGAUUUCUUAUUUAACAAUUUCUGAAACUCAUCUUUCACUAAGAUUCUAUUCUUCUCACUUUAAUAUACUUAAUCAGUAUCUUUCAAUUCUCUCCUUUAUUUAAGAUAUUUAAUAUACCUUUUCUUGCAUUCCUCCAAAUCUUACCUAUCAUAUAGAUUAUGAUACACUAUAUAUUUAGCCCAACUAGCUUUGUUGUCACUAGGUCUAAAAAUCCUAGAUGGUAUUCUUUUCAACCACUCAAAGCAAAUCCUCUUUAACUUGAUUACCUCCUGUACCUCAUUUUUCCACUACCAAAGUGCCUUAUGUGCGUAACUUUUACAAUUUAAUUUUCUAAAAACUUCUUCACAUACUCUCCUAAUACCAUUCGUCAUAUAGUCUCAAAUCCUUUUUCGUCCAGUUUUUAAGUUCCAAUAUCCCUCUAUUAAUAGUUUAUCCCUAAGAGCAAAUAAUUUUCCAUUUUCAAAGUUCACCAUCUUGUCAUUGAGUCUCUUCCUUGUCUAAGUACAUGCAUCUAAGGCUACCAAGAUAAGUUGUUUGCUCAAGCUUUCCAUUGACACCCUACGAAUGUUGCAUGUCGAUUUCUCUCUUCUUAUGAAAAGGUCACCAAAAGGUGAUAAAUUCAUCAAAUUUUAAAGAAUAUCAAAUGCUCAUUACUCUUCUUGAAAAAUGUACUUGCAAUUGCUUGAUCAUAAGCCACUAUAAACUUAAGAAUCAAAUAAUUGAACAAACCCAGAUCCACUAUAAACUCUCAUAUUCACUCUUUUCUGCAUGGCCUUUAAGAGUGUAAAAUUAUCCUUUCUUCUACUGGAAUACCUUGCAUCAAGGUUUUCAGUCUUGAUAUUGGACGUUGUACCAGUCUUAUACAAAUCAAGUCAUUAUGGGAUAUACCCUUAUACUGACACAUGGUAGCUACACCAUAUAUCGAUAUAGUAGUGUAUCGCUUCCUUUUACCAUACUAGCAGAAUGCCUUUGCUGAUCACCCCAAUCAAACCAAUCUCUCAGUCAAUCUUCCUUCCUCCUUUUUUUAAGGUUAUUGGCACCUUAUUAACAUAGCCCGUGUAACAAUCAGGUACCUAACCGGUAUAGCACCCAAUACCGAUCAUGAGAACCCUGGUUGCUCCUAUCUCCUUACCACUCUAAUAGGAUGCCAUUUUAGUAAAUUACCUUUAGUAGAUACUCUUAGCCAAAUAAUCCUUGCUUUUUGUCAUUAUAACCUUAUUACAUUGUAGGACAUUGCAAGAGGGCCACAAUAUACCAAAAACUGUUGCCUACCAACCAC